CACACCCCGACUCCCCUGCUCGCCUGUGCCCUCCGCCGCUCCCCGCUCAUGAUGGCCGCCGGUGACUCCGCCGUUCACCCGCGGCCCUGCGCCCUCCGCCGCUCGUGAAGGCCGCCGGUGCGACCUCCGCCGCUCGUCCGCCUGGCCUGCUCCGCUGCUCGCCCCGUCGUCCGUCCCUGCUCGCCUGCUGCCCUGCUCCGCCGCUCGCGCAGCCCAGCUCACCGCCUCGCCCCCUCUGCUAGUUCCUGCCCUCCGCCACGCGCAGCCCAGCUCGCCGCCUUGCACGCUCUGCCAGCUCCUGCUCUCUGCUGCCCAGGAUUGGUGUUGGCUCUUCUUUCACCGUUGAUUAAGUUAUGGAAGACACUGAUGAAGCAAGCCAUUGAUUUGGUACACAGCUACAACUUGAUGGAUGUUAAGUUUUCCUCUCGCGCCGAAAUUAUUUUUUUGGGCCCGGGGCUUGCUCCAAUCCAGAUCCGCCACUGGCCACAAUGCCAUGCCGGUUGCUGAGAUGGCACGCGCAGCUGACUCCGGCGUGGCAUGCGGGGUUGGAGGAGUUGAUGCGCGCCCGCGAGAUGGAAGACGAUGAACCGAACCCGGUUGCAGACAUGGCCGUGCGCGAGGUCAACGAAGUGGCCAUUGGAGGAGGCGUAGGGGAAGGCGAGGCCGAGCACAAUGGUUAGGACGAGGCCGCCGGCGGAGAUGGAUGUGGCGGGGAGGUCAAGGCGGGGGAGAACUUCAGCGACACCAUUCCGAUGGUGCACCUCUCCUACUUGGAGACGAAACACAUCACCGCGGAACGCCAGCUCGCGGACAAGGCCACGGACUGCGCUUUGGUAGCUCAGCUUGCCGCGGACCAGGCUCAGCUUGCCACCGACCGCGAGCUACUUGCGGAGCAGUUCGCGGCAGAAAGCCAGAUCGCUGCGAGGUAGGUGGUGGAGGCGGACGACUUGGACUUCUCUGAAGAGAUGACAACGACCUCGACUUCUCCGACUAUGAAGAGAUGGCCACCGCCGCCCAGGCCGACGGCCCUAUCACGGGCGCAGAUAUGGCCCCCACCGGCAACAACGUCCAGGCCGGCGGCUCCGGGUAUAAUCGUUAUCUCCCACGACGAUUAGUACUGUAGUAGUUAGGAGAAGAUCUCUCUAUAUAGUGUAUGUAGUUGCAUGUUUAUGCAUGGAUCCGACCGAUGGGUUUAGGGUAUGCGUUUGUGGGAGGAAAAUAUGGGUGUUUCCCAGGCCCUGUCCGUGGAAGAUCUCUAUAUAUUGAAGUAGGUGUAUGAAGUUCCAUGAUCUCGCAUGGAUCCCAGGGAUGGAUUGGGGUUGACUAUGUGGCGAAAUCGCUAAUUAAGGAGUAUUCUUUGUAAAGGUCACUCUAGCGUCGUCAGGCUGCAAUAAGUGACUCAUUGCAUGUCCGUCACUUGUCGCAACCUAUGGUUUUUCCUCUUUUGUAGAUAAGUUUAUUUAAAAUGUUUUAUCUUGUAAACCGUGCGUCUAAA